UCUCUCUCUCAACAUAAAUCAACUCUAAAAAAAGUGAUCCAGGGACAUUUCGCGUGUUCACACUGUCAUGUAACCACCACCCCGAGUUCCAAAACAUUUUCGUCACCCAAAAGGAAGCCCUGUGCCCACCAGGCAGCCCUCAAUGGUUCCCUGGUGCCAAGUAACCACUGAUCGACUUGUGUGUUUAUGGAUGUCGCUCUUCUGGACCCUUCAUAUCAAUGGAACCCACGCCGGGUGCUGCCUCUGGACCUCACAGCUGCUGUUCCCGCUCCCGACAUGCUUUUCCCUCCCCCGACCCCGACUCACCCUUCAGCAAUUCACUUUACCAGCAAACCCCUGGGCAGGUUUCCUAUCACCUCCCUGAGGUCGGCUUCCCCCCAACCUAUACCCUUGUAAAAAAACCCUCGGGUUUCCCUUCUCAGCAUUUUCUACAAUCUUAAUUAUUCCGUGCGGUUCCUUCGGGUUUCCCAGUUAGAGGAUAAAGUCGGUUAGGUAGCAACACGUCUGCCUUAUUUAUCGUGGUAUGCCAGGGCCUGGCCCAGAACCGAGCACAUACUAGGUGUCCAAUAAUUUUUUUGGUUGUUGACUGACUGACUGAGUACCCCUGACAGAGAAGUCCUCUUGUCUCCCCUCGGCGGGGACCUGGGGUUGGGGCGGGGCGCCGGGCCGGGCCAGGCCCUACCCUGCCCUCACCAAGGGCCUCCCGCACGCCCAUAUAUGGACGCGAUCAGGACAGCUCUGGCAGGGUCUGUGAGGUCAAGGCCUCUGUGCCCUCACAAUGCCCAGGGGCCCCCCCUGUGUCUAUAAGAGGCCCACAAGCCAGGCCCCGGCUCAGAGCCCACCAAGUUCCACCUGCUCACAGGUUGGCUGGCUCGACCAACAUAGACCCCCUGCUCUGAGCAUCCCGGCCGGAUCCAUCUAGAGCCAUGGCCAGAUACAGAUGCUGCCGCAGCCACAGCAGGAGCAGGUGCCGUCCCCGCAGACGCCGAUGCCGCAGACGAAGGAGGCGAUGUUGUAGGAGGUCGAGGAGGAGAGUGUGUUCCCGCCGCUACAGGGUGGGGAGGUGUAGGAGAAGAUAAUCCACGCACAGGGUACCGGUCCACCACUCCUGCCCGGAAUUCUACCAGCCAGUCAAGACCGACCUGCCGCCUCUGAACAUGCCACCAGCACCAUGACCUGAACAGGAGCCUGCUAACGAACAAUGCCACCUGUCAAUAAAUGUUG